AUUGAACGCUGGCGGCAGGCCUAACACAUGAAAGUCGAACGAGUGGCGGACGGGUGAGUAAUGUCUGGGAAACUGCCGGAUGGAAGGGGAUAACUACUGGAAGCGGUAGCUAAUACCGCAUACCAUCGGAUGUGCCCAGAUGGGAUUAGCUUGUAGGUUAGGUAACGGCCCACCUCGGCGACGAUCCCUAGCUGGUCUGAGGGGAUGACCAGCCACACUGUAACUGAGACACGGUCCAGACUCCUACGGGAGGCAGCAGUGGGUAAUAUGGCACAAUGGGCGCAAGCCUGAUGCAGCCAUGCCGCGUGUAUGAAGAAGGCCUUCGGGUUGUAAAGUACUUUCAGCGGGGAGGCGUUACCCGCAGAAGAAGCACCGGCUAACUCCGUGCCAGCAGCCGCGUAAUAC
rnacentral:rRNA from 1 species